rnacentral:rRNA from 1 species
GGACGAACGCUGGCGGCGUGCCUAACACAUGCAAGUCGAGCGAGGAGAGUCCUUCGGGAUGAUCCUAGCGGCGGACGGGUGAGUAACACGUGGGCAACCUGCCUCAUAGAGAGGAAUAGCCUUCCGAAAGGGAGAUUAAUACCUCAUAACAUUGCAGUUUCGCAUGGAACAGCAAUUAAAGGAGUAAUCCGCUAUGAGAUGGGGCCCGCGGCGCAUUAGGCUAGUUGGUGAGGUAAUGGCUCACCAAGGCGACGAUGCGUAGCCGACCUGAGAGGGUGAUCGGCCACAUUGGGACUGAGACACGGCCCAGACUCCUACGGGAGGCAGCAGUGGGGAAUAUUGCACAAUGGGGGAAACCCUGAUGCCAGCAACGCCGCGUGAGUGAUGACGGCCUUCGGGUUGUAAAGCUCUGUCUUCAGGGACGAUAAUGACGGUACCUGAGGAGGAAGCCACGGCUAACUACGUGCCAGCCGCCGC